GGAAAUGUGGCUUAGUGGUAGAGUGCUUGCCUAGCACGCAUGAAGCCCUGGGUUCAACUCCCUAGCACCA
rnacentral:tRNA from 1 species